GACGAACCGAGCGAACGUUAUUCGGAAUCACUGGGCUUAAAGGGCGCGUAGGCGGGCGAUCAAGUCAGGGGUGAAAGCCCCCAGCUCAACUGGGGAAGUGCCUUUGAUACUGGUCGUCUCGAGGGGGAUAGGGGCAUGCGGAACUUCCGGUGGAGCGGUGAAAUGCGUAGAUAUCGGAAGGAACACCGGUGGCGAAAGCGGCGUGCUGGAUCCCUUCUGACGCUGAGGCGCGAAAGCCAGGGGAGCGAACGGG
rnacentral:rRNA from 1 species